rnacentral:rRNA from 1 species
CAGCCGCCGCGGUAAUACGUAGGUCCCGAGCGUUGUCCGGAUUUAUUGGGCGUAAAGCGAGCGCAGGCGGUUAGAUAAGUCUGAAGUUAAAGGCUGUGGCUUAACCAUAGUACGCUUUGGAAACUGUUUAACUUGAGUGCAAGAGGGGAGAGUGGAAUUCCAUGUGUAGCGGUGAAAUGCGUAGAUAUAUGGAGGAACACCGGUGGCGAAAGCGGCUCUCUGGCUUGUAACUGACGCUGAGGCUCGAAAGCGUGGGGAGCAAACAGGAUUAGAUACCCCAGUAGUCCCUGUCUCUUAUACA